GCAGGAGCCGUGAGGCAAGAAGCUCUGGGAUCAAUUAAAAUGCCAGGCUUUUCCAGGCUGGUUUCCAGCGCAUCUGUGCAUGAUUCCACAUAAAUUUAGGGAAUUAAAGAUCAGACAAAGGCCUAUCCAAUGUUUAUUGGUUACUCCAAGAUUUUCAGCUUGCUGUCAGAGGAAACUAGCAUCCAGAACAGAGAGUAAGUGGUUCAAGAAUCCACAGACAAAGCGUUCUUCCUUCCACUCCAAGCAAAACAG
rnacentral:lncRNA from 1 species